rnacentral:rRNA from 1 species
ACGAACGCUGGCGGCGUGCUUAACCCCUGCAAGUCGAACGGUGAACUCCGCUUGCGGGGGGAUCAGUGGCGAACGGGUGAGUAACACGUGGGCAACCUGCCCUCAGCUCUGGGAUAACUCCAAGAAAUUGGGGCUAAUACCGGAUAUGACCGCUGACCGCAUGGUCUGGUGGUGGAAAGAUUUAUCGGCUGGGGAUGGGCCCGCGGCCUAUCAGCUUGUUGGUGGGGUAGUGGCCUACCAAGGCGACGACGGGUAGCCGGCCUGAGAGGGUGACCGGCCACACUGGGACUGAGACACGGCCCAGACUCCUACGGGAGGCAGCAGUGGGGAAUAUUGCGCAAUGGGCGAAAGCCUGACGCAGCGACGCCGCGUGGGGGAUGACGGCCUUCGGGUUGUAAACCUCUUUCAGCAGGGACGAAGCGAAAGUGACGGUACCUGCAGAAGAAGCACCGGCCAACUACGUG